UCUCGAUGGUAGUGUAUUGGACUACCAUGGCAGUGACGGGUAACGGAGAAUUAGGGUUCGAUUCCGGAGAGGGAGCCUGAGAGACGGCUACCACAUCUAAGGAAGGCAGCAGGCGCGCAAAUUACCCAAUCCUAAUUCAGGGAGGUAGUGACAAGAAAUAACAACAACGGGCUUUGUCUCGUUGAUUGGAAUGAGCACAAUGUAAAAGUCUUAGCUARGACCCACUGGAGGGCAAGUCUGGUGCCAGCAGCCGCGGUAAUUCCARCUCCAGUAGCGUAUAUUAAAGUUGUUGCAGUUAAAAAGCUCGUAGUUGGACUUGCACUCCUUUUGGAGCAGCCUGGCAACUCUGCAUGUCCUURAUUGGAUGGYAGAGACCUGCGGGCCCUUUACCUUGAGAAAACUAGAGUGUUUAAGGCAGGCCACGCCUGAAUACUGCAGCUGGGAAUAAUGCAUCACGACUGUCUUGGCGAGGCAGCUCUACACUUUUAAUAGGAACGGUUGGGGGCAUUCGUACUCAGCAGUCAGAGGUGAAAUUCUUGGAUUUGCUGAAGACGGACUAGUGCGAAAGCAUUUGCCAAGGAUGUUUUCAUUAAUCAAGAACGAAAGUUAAGGGAUCAAAGACGAUCAGAUACCGUC
rnacentral:rRNA from 1 species